CAGUCGCCACGGUAAUACGGAGGGAGCUAGCGUUGUUCGGAAUUACUGGGCGUAAAGCGCGCGUAGGCGGUUACUCAAGUCAGAGGUGAAAGCCCGGGGCUCAACCCCGGAACUGCCUUUGAAACUAGGUGACUAGAAUCUUGGAGAGGUCAGUGGAAUUCCGAGUGUAGAGGUGAAAUUCGUAGGUAUUCGGAAGAACACCAGUGGCGAAGGCGACUGACUGGACAAGUAUUGACGCUGAGGUGCGAAAGCGUGGGGAGCAAACAGGAUUAGAUACCCCAGUAGUCCCUGUCUCUUAUAC
rnacentral:rRNA from 1 species